AACGCACCUUGCGCUCCUUGGUAUUCCGAGGAGCAUGCCUGUUUGAGUGUCAUUAAAUUCUCAACCCCACUAGCUUUUGUGAGCUAUGCUGGGGCUUGGAUGUUGGGAGUUUGCGGGCCUUUACUAGGUCGGCUCUCCUGAAAUACAUUAGCGGAACCGUUUGCAGUCCCGUCACUAGUGUGAUAAUUAUCUACACUGUGAUGACUGCUCUCUGACUAGUUCAGCUGCUAAUCGUCCACUGUGGACAAUCAUUAAUGAACUUCUUGACCUCAAAUCAGGUAGGACUACCCGCUGAACUUAA
rnacentral:misc_RNA from 2 species